rnacentral:rRNA from 1 species
UACGGAGGGUGCAAGCGUUAUCCGGAUUUACUGGGUUUAAAGGGUGUGUAGGCGGACUUUUAAGUCAGGGGUGAAAUCCCGAGGCUCAACCUCGGAACUGCCUUUGAUACUAUUAGUCUUGAAUCUUGUUGAGGUGGGCGGAACGGGUCAUGUAGCGGUGAAAUGCAUAGAUAUGACCCGGAACACCGAUUGCGAAGGCAGCCCGCUAAGCAAGCAUUGACGCUGAGGCACGAAAGCGUGGGGAUCAAACAGG